UCGGCAAUUUAUUGAGUGCUCAAACAAAUACCCAGUUGGGGCUACUAUUGCGAGUUUAAAUCCCGAUCAAAUGUAGUCUAAGGCAUCAUUUCAUUGGUGUCAAUAAAGUGAUCUACCACUCUGUGAAAAGCUGAAAGUUUUUUUUUAAUCAUGGAUCUCACGGACCCUGUCAUAGGAAUGUGGACAUUUCCAUUCUUGGCUCAGGGCUGGGGAAAUCAACAGUGGUUGUCCUAUGGUCAGCCUCGCCCUGGCAUAGGAGCGUGAAAUUUCCACCAUUGACUUAGAGCAAUAAACAGGAGAUAAGUGCCAAGCCGGUACACGACUUAAACUCGUGUGUUGAGCAAUUCCGUCUGUUGUGUUUUUUUAAUGAUGAGAUUAUCCACAUGUCGUAUACUUUGUGUGCAUAACCAGGUCUCAUUAUGUUUCUGCAUUCCACAGCCUGUGUGACCAUCACCUCCCCGUAUUCCUAAACCCGUACAAUCUGUCAAGCGCCAAAUACAACCAGUUUGAGAACAUCUCGUAUAAUCUGCCCUUCGGAAUAUACAACGUUGAAAAUAAAGUGAAGUUGGUUUUGAAUCUCACGAAGAACUACAGCUUACCCGCGCAAUUACAGAGGUUCUCCAACAGGUCCUGUGUGGUGGUUGGAAAUAGUUUCAUCCUCAAAGGGCGCAGAAUUGGAAGCAUCAUAGAUUCGUAUGACACCGUAAUAAGG